UGCGGCGGCCCCGAGCCGCCCCGGACGAGUGGUGGCGUACCCGGUCAGGCCAAGACGCCCCGU
rnacentral:ncRNA from 1 species